rnacentral:rRNA from 1 species
UAGGGAAUCUUCCGCAAUGGGCGAAAGCCUGACGGAGCAACGCCGCGUUAGUGAUGAAGGUCUUCGGAUCGUAAAACUCUGUUAUUAGGGAAGAACAAAUGUGUACGUAACUAUGCACGUCUUGACGGUACCUAAUCAGAAAGCCACGUCUAAAUACGUGCCAGCAGCCUCGGUAAUACGUAGGUGGCAAGCGUUAUCCGGAAUUAUUGGGCGUAAAGCGCGCGUAGGCGGUUUUUUAAGUCUGAUGUGAAAGCCCACGGCUGAACCGUGGAGGGUCAUUGUAAACUGGAAAACUUGAGUGGAGAAGAGGAAAGUGGAAUUCCAUGUGUAGCGGUGAAAUGCGCAGAGAUAUGGAGGAACACCAGUGGCGAAGGCGACUUUCUGGUCUGUAACUGACGCUGAUGUGCGAAAGCGUGGGGAGCAAACAGG